rnacentral:rRNA from 1 species
AAGGUCUUGAAACUCAAAGAAUUUGGCGGUAUUUUAGUCUAUUCAGAGGAAUCUGUCCCAUAAUUGAUAGUUCACGGAUUAUUAGACUUAGCUUUGUAAGAUCAAUUUGUAUACCGCCGUCAUCAGAUUAUUUUUGUAGAAUUAGAAUUUUCUGGAAAUUUUAUUARAUUGAAUGUCAGGUCAAGGUGCAGUUUAUAGUUAAGUGGAGAUGGAUUACAAUAAAUUUAUUUAAAUGGAUUUUAAUAUGAAAAGUUGAUUGAAGGUGGAUUUGAUAGUAAUUUUGUAUAGAUUUAUAAUUUGAUUAUAGCUCUAAAAUAUGUACAUAUCGCCCGUCGCUCUCACUAUUAAGGUGAGAUAAGUCGUAACAUAGUAGAUGUACUGGAAAGUGUAUCUAGAAAGU